UCAAAGUUAGUGAUUGGUCAUUCUAUAUUGUGGUUAUAGGGAUUUAUCUUUGAG
rnacentral:tRNA from 1 species